rnacentral:rRNA from 1 species
UGGGGAAUUUUGCACAAUGGGGGAAACCCUGAUGCAGCGACGCCGCGUGAUUUAUAAGGCCUUCGGGUUGUAAAAAUCCUUUUUAUGGGAAGAAAAUGACAGUACCAUAGGAAUAAGGACAGGCUAAUUACGUGCCAGCAGCCGCGGUAAUACGUAAGGUCCGAGCGUUGUCCGGAAUCUUUGGGCGUAAAGGGUACGUAGGCGGGUAAGCAAGUUAGAAGUGAAAUCCUAUAGCUCAACUAUAGUAAGCUUUUAAAACUGCUCAUCUUGAGGUAUGGAAGGGAAAGUGGAAUUCCUAGUGUAGCGGUGAAAUGCGCAGAUAUUAGGAGGAAUACCGGUGGCGAAGGCGACUUUCUGGCCAUAACCUGACGCUGAGGUACGAAAGCGUGGGUAGCAAACAGG